UAUGAAGACUACAAGACCCAUUUUGCACUUGUGUGUACAACCUUCGCAGUUAUAGCCACUGAGUUUGCUCUUCAGUGUCUAGGGGACACAAAUGUUCAGCUACUAGAUUCAUCAUCUGAUGCUAUUCCUUGUCCAAUGAUAAAAGCAUCAUAUGUGUCUCGGCUAACUUUCUCCUGGGUAUUUAAUUUAGUUUACUCAGGAUACAAGAAGGUGGUUGUUCUGUCAGACAUAUUUGAUGUGCCGAACUUGAUGCAAUGUCGUAACAAUGUACCAGAGUUCAUGACGGUUUGGCUGAAAGAACUAAACAGCAAAAAAGCUAAAUAUAAUAAGUUAGUG